AUAUUGGCCAGAGACCGAUAGCGCACAAGUAGAGUGAUCGAAAGAUGAAAAGCACUUUGGAAAGAGAGUUAAACAGUACGUGAAAUUGUUGAAAGGGAAGCGCUGGCAACCAGACUUGGGCGCUGCCGAUCCGCGGGGGUUCUCCCUCGGGCACUCGGUAGCGCGCAGGCCAGCAUCGGUUUGGGUGGCUGGAGAAAGGCUGGUGGAAUGUAGCUGCCCUCGGGCAGUGUUAUAGCCACCGGUGUCAUGCAGCCCACCCGGACCGAGGACCGCGCUUCGGCUAGGAUGCUGGCGUAAUGGUUGUCAGCGACCCGUCUUGAAACACGGACC
rnacentral:rRNA from 1 species